rnacentral:lncRNA from 1 species
GAUGGGAAAAGUAGAAUAAGAUGGGAGGAGAGCGCUCAAACAUAUUCAGCAUAAUACUCAUGUUCUCACUCCUAGCGAAUCAACUUCAAUCUGCAAAAACAUAUAUAGUUCAAAUAUAAGAUAUAAAACUUUGAAUAAAACAAAAAAGAAAAAAAACACAAGAUUGUUGUCGGAAAUAUUACCACGAAGAGUUACUUGGAUGUUGUUGAGACUCCAUUAAGUCUCGAAGGAGGCGACCAUGUUCUUCAAGAGUUGCUUUUAAAGUUUCAACUUCAUCUUUUAGCUCAACAUUUUCCUUCUCAUUCUCCUUUAAAGCUUCUUGAAUCAUCUGUCUA